rnacentral:lncRNA from 1 species
GGUUAUGCGCAUUCAUAUAAAGACAGUGGGUGUAAGAAAACAACUCAAAAACAAACUGUAAAAAAUCUAAUUAAAAUGUCUUUAUUGAUCAGACAGGUACUAAACACCGAAACAAGAACUAAAAAGGCAAACGACACAAAGAAUAAAUCUAAGACACCCUUAAUCAUUGAGAGUUUAUGUAUCAUUGUCAUUUUGUUUAGUUUCUUUUGUUAACUAUUUGACAUCGGUCUAGGAUUUAUUUUAACUGAGUUUUACUGUGCGUAUUGUUGUGGGUUUUUUCUACAUUGGCUAGAGGUAUAAACGAUGUUUGAGAUCUUAGAAAAUAUGUUUACCACAGCAAGUUUUUGCGUCUGUUCCAAGUCAGGAGCCUCUAGCCCUUGUUAGUCUUGUAUGAUUUUUAAAUUUGGUUUCUUGAGUAUGUUUCGGAGUUUAGUAUGACGUCCAUUACCACUGAACUAGUAUAAAAUUUGUUAAGGGACCAGCUAAAGCACGCCUCCUAAUGCAGGAGUUUCUCGCUGCGUUGAAGACCCAAUGGUGGCACUCGACUGUUGUCUGCUUUUUGGUCGGGUUGUUGUCUAUUUGACACAUUCCCCAUUUCGAUUCUCAAUUUUACAACGAAAAAAAGUUUAUUUUGAAGAAGAGUAAGUUUAUAUGGACCUUAUCUUAAUUUAUUAGACCUACUUAGAACAUCACAAAUUAGUUAGAAUAUGACAUUCCCUUCGCAACAUUUUUGUACAAUUACACCCAAUGAAAUAUCUAUAAAAGUAUUUUAUAUGUUACAAGUAAUUUG